UGUCCUACGGGAGGCAGCAGUGAGGAAUAUUGGUCAAUGGGCGGGAGCCUGAACCAGCCAAGUCGCGUGAGGGAAGACGGUCCUAUGGAUUGUAAACCUCUUUAGGCGGGGAGCAAUGCCGGGCACGCGUGCCCGGAGGGAGAGUACCCGCAGAAUAAGCAUCGGCUAACUCCGUGCCAGCAGCCGCGGUAAUACGUAGGUGGCAAGCGUUGUCCGGAUUUACUGGGUGUAAAGGGCGUGCAGCCGGGAAGACAAGUCAGAUGUGAAAUCCCGCGGCUCAACCGCGGAACUGCAUUUGAAACUGU
rnacentral:rRNA from 1 species